rnacentral:rRNA from 1 species
UUUUGAAACACGGACCAAGGAGUCUAACAUGUGCGCGAGUCAUUGGGACUUGUUAAGCCUAAAGGCGCAAUGAAAGUGAAGGUCGUCCUUAGCGUCGACCUAGGGAGGAUGUCUCGCGUAGCGAUACGCGAGUCCGCACUCCCGGGGCGUCUCGUGCUCAUUGCGAGCAGAGGCGCACCCAGAGCGCACACGUUGGGACCCGAAAGAUGGUGAACUAUGCCUGGUCAGGACGAAGUCAGGGGAAACCCUGAUGGAGGUCCGUAGCGAU